UACGAGGUAGCAAGUAGAAAGAUUGACUUGUAAAAUUUAAAAGUCAACUAUUUCUAUUCUGAAUAAUUGGAUAUUUAAUAGUAUCCCAAUAAGUGUCUAUUUUCACUGCGACAGUCAACAUGUUAAAAAUUGAAAAUCGCAUCCUCUGAAGUAGUCAGGAUCAACAGCUGAUUUAGGGAAGGUCUAAGGAGGUUACAGUUCUGAACCCCAUUUUGCAGAGGGCCUCGUUAUAAAUCUUUUAUUUACUAGGUUAAAAAAUAUUGAAUGAAAUUUUGUUUCAAGUUAUAAUAAAUAAUAGUUUUUACUAAUUCGUCCUGUAUUUGACAGAUAUAAUACACUUAUUCAUUUUCUAUAUUUUACAUACAAAGAUUUUGGAAUAAGGCGAAACGCUUAUAACCAUUUUUGUAAUUUUAUGGUCUUCAUUUUUGGGAUAUAUCAUCAUCCAUUUUUGAUUCCGCAGGACAUGUAGAUUAAUGGAAAUAGGAUUCUGGUUUUCCUGGAAAGGGCUUCACCUUUUCACGGCCAUGGAUCGCUCUUUGAUCUCGCUUGACUUGCGUGAAAAAAGAGCAGGGUCAGCCCAUUGCAACCUACGCAGGGAAAAAACAAGCUUCCCUUCUUUCCUUUAACCAUGUUCUAGAAAAAAAAGAAAAGAAAAAAAUGACACGAAAAUUUUGCAGAUUUGAAAUUAAUAUUUUGCAAUCUUUGUCUGAUUUUAAAUUCUUAU